rnacentral:rRNA from 1 species
UCCACAAGGGUUGGGCCACCGGCUUCAGGUGUUACCGACUUUCAUGACUUGACGGGCGGUGUGUACAAGACCCGGGAACGUAUUCACCGCAGCGUUGCUGAUCUGCGAUUACUAGCGACUCCGACUUCAUGAGGUCGAGUUGCAGACCUCAAUCCGAACUGGGACCGGCUUUUUGGGAUUCGCUCCACCUCACGGUAUUGCAGCCCUUUGUACCGGCCAUUGUAGCAUGCGUGAAGCCCAAGACAUAAGGGGCAUGAUGAUUUGACGUCAUCCCCACCUUCCUCCGAGUUGACCCCGGCAGUAUCCCAUGAGUUCCCACCAUUACGUGCUGGCAACAUAGAACGAGGGUUGCGCUCGUUGCGGGACUUAACCCAACAUCUCACGACACGAGCUGACGACAACCAUGCACCACCUGUUCACCAGUGUCCAAAGAGUCCCGUAUUUCUACGGUGUUCUGGUGUAUGUCAAGCCUUGGUAAGGUUCUUCGCGUUGCAUCGAAUUAAUCCGCAUGCUCCGCCGCUUGUGCGGGUCCCCGUCAAUUCCUUUGAGUUUUAGCCUUGCGGCCGUACUCCCCAGGCGGGGAACUUAAUGCGUUAGCUGCGUCACGGAAACCGUGGAAUGGUCCCCACAACUAGUUCCCAACGUUUACGGGGUGGACUACCAGGGUAUCUAAGCCUGUUUGCUCCCCACCCUUUCGCUCCUCAGCGUCAGUUACGGCCCAGAGAUCUGCCUUCGCCAUCGGUGUUCCUCCUGAUAUCUGCGCAUUCCACCGCUACACCAGGAAUUCCAAUCUCCCCUACCGCACUCUAGUCUGCCCGUACCCACUGCAGGCCCGAGGUUGAGCCUCGGGAUUUCACAGCAGACGCGACAAACCGCCUACGAGCUCUUUACGCCCAAUAAUUCCGGAUAACGCUUGCGCCCUACGUAUUACCGCGGCUGCUGGCACGUAGUUAGCCGGCGCUUUUUCUGCAGGUACCGUCACUCUCGCUUCUUCCCUGCUAAAAGAGGUUUACAACCCGAAGGCCGUCAUCCCUCACGCGGCGUUGCUGCAUCAGGCUUCCGCCCAUUGUGCAAUAUUCCCCACUGCUGCCUCCCGUAGGAGUCUGGGCCGUGUCUCAGUCCCAGUGUGGCCGGUCACCCUCUCAGGCCGGCUACCCGUCGACGCCUUGGUGAGCCAUUACCUCACCAACAAGCUGAUAGGCCGCGAGCCCAUCCCAGACCGAAAAAUCUUUCCAACCCCCACCAUGCGAUGAGAGCUCAUAUCCAGUAUUAGACGCCGUUUCCAGCGCUUAUCCCAGAGUCCAGGGCAGGUUGCUCACGUGUUACUCACCCGUUCGCCACUGAUCCACCAAGCAAGCUUGGC